CCUCCCCUCAGAGGCGAGGCAUUAAUUUAUUGUCCGCGCCGCGGCGAGGACGAGAGGACCGGUUGCCGGCGGGGUCCAGGGCGGCGAAGACCCGCGGCCGGGCGCUAGCAGGAGUUCAUCUCUGCAUUUCCCAGUUUACCUAGCAGAAGGCCUUGGACAUAAUGGGAAAUCAGUGAAUUUCUAAUAAAUGGACGGAUUCCUUCCAUAAAGAAAGGAGCUGAAAAGAUGACUAAUCAAGGCAAUUACCAGGGCCGGGACCCCACAAACCUCAGUUCUCUUUUAUCAACCGGAUCCCUGUGAGGAUUUGCCAAUAGAGGGCGAGAGAGGGAGACUCUGAGGCUGGAGCCAGAAGGGCAACCGCUCCCUAUGCACUUCGAUUCCUUUUUGUCUUACUGUUCCCUGGACAACCAUCCAGCAAUGGAACUUCACCCCAGCGGCAUCAGCGGAUUGCUCCACUAGCACAGAGGCUGUAAAUCCCCAUAUCCAAAUACAAGAAGCCUAUGUCAGGAGACAGUGCCCCACCCCUUUGGACUCCACUCAGCGUCUAUGUGAGGAACAACCUUGGCAAAGAGCAGCGACAGCAUAAUAGUGAUUGUUGACCAGAAGUCGAGGACAGCUGUCUUCCUGUAAUGCCCCAUGUGACACCCACAGGAAUUUUCCCUUUACUGUUCAGCCCAUUGAAAGAGGCCUCCAGUUUCAUGCCACAUGGACCUCUCCAUAGAGCUGCUCACAACAUGGCAGCUGGCUUCCUUAGAGCGAACAAGCAAGAGAAACAUCUAAGGUAUUUGCUUCCUGUCCCUCACAAUGCACUAUUCUCCACUGCCAGGAGUCCAGUGUCUCAAAAAAAUAUCUAUUUAUUCAUGUUUUUGUCCUGUUUGGGGUUGUUCAAAGCUUGAGGCUACACUGGUACUUGUUACUCCAUCUUUUCCAGAAGUGGAAGUAUCUGAAAAUCUUUUAUUAAUAAUCCUUAUAAUACUUAUCUACUAGAAACACAUGUAUGAUGUUUUUAUUUUUGUGACCAUAAAGCAGUAUGUUAAAAAUUAUUCUAAUUGAUUAAAGAAAAAAUAUUAGCAAAAAAGUAAAAUUUAUCAGAAAUUAAUGUCUUAAUGAGAUGGACUGGGGGCAUUUAUAAGGCAUUAAUAAAUAUUAUAUUAUUCUUUUACUUGCCAUUCAGGGCAAUGAAUCCCUGAAGAAUGUUUGCUUCUCUUUGGUAAAGUGGUGGAAGAGCAGUUGUGAAAACACAGAGUUGAAAAAAAAAGAGCCAGUAUGACUCAGGAUGCAUUCUUAGGCAGUUCAGCUUCAGAAAGCGUUCAUAUGAAAUUUGGUGAUCUGCUAAUCAUUUAUUUAAAACUAUCUCUUACACAUAUUAUUUUUCCCACCUGUGCUAUGACAUAAAAUAGUUGAGAAGAACCAUUCCUGCUUGUAACUGUGAGUGGCUAACCUAUACUGUCGUUAGCCUAGUCCAAGAAGAGCUAGUGGCCACCUCUGCUACGGUUCUCCACUGCAGGCUUCCUCCCUUUAUGUUCUGGGCUGGAGUGUGUUUGCUCUGCCUUGGUUCUUCUAUUACUUCCUGUCUUACAGAUAUUUGUCAAAAUCUCUCAUGAACUGAUGGAGCGCUCUCCCUUUCUCAAUAUUCAUGCAUGUAUUCUCUUUCAUAAAUACUUGUUGGCCAGGAAGCAGAGCCAGAUUUCAUCAUGAAUAGGUAUUGGAUUUGGAUCUUGUCAAAUGCUUUUCUGGAUCAAUUGAUAAUAAUCAUAUGAUUUUUCUUCAUAAGUCUAUUGAUAUGAAGAUUAUUA